UACGUAGGGAGCAAGCGUUGUCCGGAAUCAUUGGGCGUAAAGAGCGCGUAGGCGGUCCGGUAAGUCGGUUGUGAAAACUGGGGGCUCAACCCUCAGAGGCCGACCGAUACUGCCGGGCUAGAGUCCGGAAGAGGCGAGUGGAAUUCCUGGUGUAGCGGUGAAAUGCGCAGAUAUCAGGAGGAACACCAAUGGCGAAGGCAGCUCGCUGGGACGGUACUGACACUGAGGCGCGAAAGCGUGGGGAGCAAACAGG
rnacentral:rRNA from 1 species